GACGUAGGGCGCGAGCGUUGUCCGGAUUUAUUGGGCGUAAAGAGCUUGUAGGCGGUUUGUCGCGUCUGCCGUGAAAAUUCGAGGCUCAACCUCGAACUUGCGGUGGGUACGGGCAGACUAGAGUGUGGUAGGGGAGACUGGAAUUCCUGGUGUAGCGGUGAAAUGCGCAGAUAUCAGGAGGAACACCGAUGGCGAAGGCAGGUCUCUGGGCCACUACUGACGCUGAGAAGCGAAAGCGUGGGGAGCGAACAGG
rnacentral:rRNA from 1 species